rnacentral:rRNA from 1 species
UACGUAGGGUGCGAGCGUUAAUCGGAAUUACUGGGCGUAAAGCGUGCGCAGGCGGCGGCUCAAGUCAGGUGUGAAAUCCCGGGCUUAACCUGGGAAUUGCGCUUGAAACUAGGUCGCUAGAGUGUGGCAGAGGGUGGAAUUCCACGGUGUAGCAGUGAAAUGCGUAGAGAUGUGGAGGAACACCGAUGGCGAAGGCAGCCCCUGGGUCAACACUGACGCUCAUGCACGAAAGCGUGGGGAGCAAACAGG